CCACAAGGUCCAGGGGCGGCAGCGGUCAAGACGGCGAGGCGGUGGCUCUCCAGCGUCCGUACGGCCUCCGGCGCUCGCUCGCCCUUCCUCCUGCGUCUCCUGCCAGCAAGCUUCCAACGGCGCCCGUGUCACCUCCAAGGAUGUCCCGGUACCACUCACCUCCCCCCUCCCCUCUUCCUUCAGAUGAAUUAAUAGCUGACAGCGGCCAGCGUCUCCGAGCUCGCAAGCACCAAGAUUUGACAUGGAGCAGCACAUGGAUGUCGAUUUUGGCAUCUCUGCUUUGAUGAAGCCGGCAUGGCUAGGUAGUUCUUGCUAGUUUUCAGCAUUAAUGAGGGAAGAAGAUGAUUUAAUGUUUUUGGAAGGACUAAUCCAGUGAGGAUGGUGGACAAGAAAAUAGAAGGAAUGUGUAUGUCAAAACUGAAGAAAAGCAUACCACCUUGGUGGCUCUGUUCUCACAAAAGAAGAUUGUUUACUAUUUCACACAAAAUCAGAUUUUUGCCAGCAACUCAUCCACCUUGGUCUCAUCUUUCGUUGACGGCGGAGCAUCAAGUAGCAGUAUCUCUGCGAAAAUCCAUAGAAGUAUCGGAACCGGCUGUGUGUAUGGGAAAAAGAAAAUCCCUAAAUGUAUCUCUGAAACAAUGGCAUUUUUUCAGUGAAUGAACUAAGACUAGCAGUUCAUUUUAAUUCUGUUGUGGGAAUCUAUUUUUGGGAACUCAAUUCUGAACACUUUUCAAAGAGAUAGUAGCUGCCACUGUUUCAAGAAUGUACUAAUUCUCUGAAAAUCGCUUUGUUUUUCUGUAGCAAGUUGUCGUAUGAAUUCUGACAGAAAACUGUCAUUUGUUCAAGAAGGAAUUAUUUUCUGAAUCUUUUUUUGUAUUUCUGUAGCAACUUAUUGUAUGAAUUCUUAACACUGUGCAAGGAAAUCAGCAGCUGCCAUUGUUCAAAGAAUGAGCUAAAUCUCUGAAAAUCGCUUUUGUUUUUCUGUAGCAAGUUAAUGUAUGAAAACUGAAUAUUGUUCAAAGAAGUCAGCAGCUGCCAUUAUUUCUACAUCAGUUUACCCCCUCUUAGUAGAAAGGAACAACUCACUUCUCUCGCUACUCCUAAUUUUUUGUUGUGCUUUUCUGUAGGAGGAGAAAUUCAUCAUCAGAUCACAAGAACCACAGAACAGCAAGGGUGAUAUUCAGGUUGACAUAUUUCCAUAGACAAUCUAACCUGUACAGGGAUGAGUAAGAGAUGAAAAACAUCAAUUGAAAGCACCGCAAAGGUGUCUAAGCAAUGGUAACAUCAUUUGAAGAACAUCCCUUUCCUUCCCCUGAUUUAUCGUAGGUUAAUAACUUACAGCGUAAAUGUCAAUAUCUUACAGCAUAAUUAUCUUUUUAUAGGCAGUCUUUCACACUAAAACGACAACACAUGCCUUACAAGAUACUUCCUUUUUUCGUACACUGUUCUUCGUGCUAGUAUCAGGUUCAGUAACAUAAACACAAGUAAAAAUGCUCAUCUUUUCUCUCUGCGCCCACCAUGCAAAAAAAGAAGUGCCCCAAGAAGAUAAUUGCCUCCAUUUCUUUUCCCAUAGCAUCCUAUGCGCGUUGUAGCUCUCUGGUCCAGCCCAUGACGCCUCGUUAUGUCGCCUGUUUCUGGA
rnacentral:lncRNA from 1 species